CCGGGCGAAGUGGCAACUGUAAGGCACUUGUGGCGGGGGAGGUCUGUGUGGGCAAAAUUCCCUCCGUUUCUUGCCAACACCGGAAUUAACACUGCUCCGCUCUGAAGCUUAAAAGUGUUUCAGGCCCGUGAUGUUAACGCGCUUCCUAAACUGGCCGUUCCGGGGUCGUCAGAGCCACCGGGCUGGCGGGGGCCCCGCGUGCGCCUGGAACACGGACACCGUCCCGGGCUAGAGCGCCUCCGUGCUGGGUGAUGUCCAACAGCUCAUCUUUCUCAAAGAAGAGCAAGUCCAUCAGAAGGCUGUAAGCUGCGAAGAUUCGUGUUCUUUUUCUUCCCUCGCUGCCCCGGAUCAGUAUAAGAUCUUACCUUUUCUUCUGACUUCUAUGCUGGAUGAGGCCCACGUCCCUGUCUGGGGUCUCUCCUUAUCUCCAGAGCCAGCCUCUGACUCACCUGCUCUCUCCAGCACCUCACUUUUGCACUCCUACAGCCUCCUUUCUUUUGACUUAAUUCCACCUCAUUUUUGAAUUCACCCUGACUAAAGUUUCCAUCCUGGUUUAAAAGGGUUGUUGGAAGAGAGAAUCUGCCAUGGGCACUGGGCCUCCCCAUCUGUUCUUUCUGAGCAUGCCAAGAAUGCAAGGCCCCGACGGCUCUUUGUCCAGGCCAUCAUUCAGGGUUAUGUGUGCAGCAGGCGACCUUCAGGGAAGAGGCCGUGCCUCCUCCCAAACACAGGCUUGCUACUGCUCAUUACAAAAACAAUGAGUCCCUCCAGGUCCGUGUUCCUCUCCCACGGCAACCCUCUGCAUGUGCAGGCAUCCUGGAUGGGUCCUUUGUGUCACCACUGUGGGAUUCGGGGGACAUGGGGAACCACUGCAAACCAACACAAACUCUGGCUACUUCUUUUGCCCCAUGUAAUAAAAUCCUCAGUCUCCGGCCAAGAGGCUCAUGCCUUUUACCAGUGUCCAUGAAAGAGUAACUUGCAAGCUUGGAAAUGGGGUAAAACUUUAGACCCCGCACAGUUUGUACACGGGCCUCUCACUGUUUGUGGCCUCUCCCAUUGCAGAGCACAGGCCCCGGACACGCAGGUUCAGAGGCCAUGGCUCACGGGC